UUCCAUGACUUUCAUCUACGAUAGAUCUCUUAAAUUCUGGAUUUCAAGCUCGUGGCUUGAUGCAUGGUGGUGGUAUCAUGUAAGUGAUGUGGUUUCAAGUCUGUGUAAAAAGUCGAAAGUUGUAAUAAUUGAUGGGUUUUGAAACGGGAAGGUAACGAUAAGAACUGGAAGGAGCUAGGAAUUGCUGGGGAGAGAAUUGAGAAGAAAAGAUGGAGAGAAACGCAGCAUCGUCAAGCUGGGAUUCUUCCGUACCUUCUUAAUUUUAUUUGACAAUAAACAAGGCUUGAUACGCGUAGGGAGACAAGCCAGAUGGGUCGUCACUUCAAUCCAUAUCUCUUUCUGUAGGUAAUAAAUAAUAAUUAUGGAAAAAGCUAAGCUCAUACAAAUGCCUCCUUAUUUCCCUCGCCCUUUUCCCCCCGUUAAUCCAUGAAGACUUUCUGUCGCAUAGGCUGCUUGUUUUGUAUCUGGAUUUACCGGCAUUUUUUUUUAAUGGCGAUAAAAGAUACAAUUUCUUAUCCAACAUUGACUUGUGUCUAUUGAAAUAGUUGGCUGAGAAUAACCCCGAGGUCAAAACCUUUCUCGAGGACAUGGAGCACAACCUUGAGAAGGCUCAUGUCACUCUUGCCCACAAGCGAAGUCAGGGUGUUACGGCUGUAGCUGGCAACGAGCUUUUCCUUCAUCAAAAGGUCCCUGUGGAAUUGACUGCCCUCCUUUUCACUGAUGAAAUGGCAGCUCUGGAAGCAGAAAUCGGUUCUGUUGAUAGCGAAAAAGCUGUACCGAAAAAUUAGUGGCCCCAUGUUACCACAUGGACAGGAGAAAAAAGGUAGCCAAGAGGCCAAAGAUUGCCUCAAUUGCUUCUGGAGGGAAAAGCAACGCGAUUUGAAAUCAAUCCACCCAUCACCAUAUCCGGCACACUGGGAUUGUAUCGAGUUCUUUGAUCGUUCUUCCUAAAAUAUACAUGUCGAGGAAUGGUUUCGGUUGGAUUUUAUGUAAAAGUUGUCUGAAAAAUUCUGUAGGUGAUAGGGCAUUAGACUACGAUGGUUUCGCCCAAGAAACAGGUGGAAAUUGAGUUCUGCUCCUGAAAAUUUGUAUACACGCAGGCUAAGCAGAAUAACAAAGCAAAUAGAAUUUAUUACUUA